rnacentral:rRNA from 1 species
UGUAAAGCUCUUUGUAGGGGAAGAUAUGACUGUACCCUAGAAUAGGUCCGGCUAACUUCGUGCCAGCAGCCGCGGUAAUACGAAGGGACCUAGCGUAGUUCGGAAUUACUGGGCGUAAAGCGCGCGUAGGCUGUUGAGUUAGUUAAUUGUGAAAUCCCAAAGCUUAACUUUGGAACUGCAAUUAAAACUGCUCGACUAGAGUUUGAUAGAGGAAAGCGGAAUACAUAGUGUAGAGGUGAAAUUCGUAGAUAUUAUGUAGAACACCAGUUGCGAAGGCGGCUUUCUGGAUCAACACUGACGCUGAGGCGCGAAAGUAUGGGUAGCAAAGAGGAUUAGAUACCCUCGUAGUCCAUACCAUAAACGAUGAUUGCUAGAUGUUGGAAAUUUAUUUUCAGUAUCGCAGCUAACGCAUUAAGCAAUCCGCCUGGGGAGUACGACCGCAAGGUUAAAACUCAAAUGAAUUGACGGGGACCCGCACAAGCGGUGGAGCAUGUGGUUUAAUUCGAAGAUACGCGCAGAACCUUACCAACCCUUGACAUGUCUGUCGCGAGUUUAGGAAACUAGACUCUUCGGUUCGGCCGGACAGAACACAGGUGCUGCAUGGCUGUCGUCAGCUCGUGUCGUGAGAUGUUGGGUUAAGUCCCGCAACGAGCGCAACCCCUACUUUUAGUUGCCAUCAGGUCAUGCUGGGCACUCUGAAAGAACUGCCAGUGAUAAGCUGGAGGAAGGUGGGGAUGACGUCAAGUCCUCAUGGCCCUUACGGGUUGGGCUACACACGUGCUACAAUGGUAGUGACAAUGAGAUGCAAAGUGGCGACGCUAAGCUAAACUCAAAAAUCUACCUCAGUUCGGAUUGCACUCUGCAACUCGAGUGCAUGAAGCUGGAAUCGCUAGUAAUCGUAGAUCAGCGUGCUACGGUGAAUACGUUCCCGGGUCUUGUACACACCGCCCGUCACACCAUGGAAGUUGGUUCUACCUUAAAGCAGAUUGCUAACCGCAAGGAGGCGUUUGACCAAGGUAUAGUCAGCGACUGGGGUGAAGUCGUAACAAGGUA